CUUAUACAGUAUGGCCAGCGACAUUAGCUAGUGCUCACUCAACUCUCUCUAACGGGAAAGUAGCAGACUACAAGAGACUGAACUGUAUCUUCCUCUAUUUCCAGCAGAUUCACAUUCAACUUUCACUCACAAAAAUAGCCAGGAAAAUUUUAUUAGUUCUUAAAAAAAGUUAAUAUAAAAUUAUAGCAAAAAAAAAAAAAAAAAAGGAACCUGAACUUUAGUAAAACAGCUCGAACAAUCCGCAGCAGCAUCAGGAGUAGUGGGAGAGAGAUUUAAUUUACUUGAUUUUCUAUGCUUGUUGGUUGUUCCCUAGUCUCACAAUGAUGGAAGCUGUACAUUUUUUCGAAAGGACCAAGAAACUGUUGGAGGUCUGGUUCUCCAGGCAGUAGUCUGAUGCAAGCCAGGGAUCUGGGGAUCUUUGUACCAUCCCAAGAUCUGAGUGGGAUGUCCUUUUAAAGAAUGUGCAGUGCUCAAUCAUAAGUGUGACAAAGACUGAUAAGCAGGAAGCUUAUGUACUCAGUGAGAGUAGCAUGUUUGCCUCCAAGAGACAUUUCAUUUUGAAGACAUGUGGUACAACCCUCUUAUUGAAAGCACUGGUUCCUCUAUUGAAGCUUGCUUGGGAUUACAGUGGGUUUGACUCAAUUCAAAGCUUCUUCCCAUAAGAAUUUAAUGAAACCUUCUCACCAAGGGGACCCACACCUGAAUUUCCAGGAAGAAAUUGAGUUUCUUAAUGCAAUUUUCCCAAAAGGAGUAGCAUAUUGUAUGGGACAUAUGAAUUCUGACUUGUAUACUUUGGAUUUCCCAGAGAGAUGAGUAAUCAAUCAUCCAGAUCAAACCCUGGAAAUUCAGAUGAGUGAGCUCAACCCAGCAGUUAUGGACCAGUUAGUUCUGCAUGAAAGAUGGUGUUACUACAAAGGAUGUCACUCAUGAGAGUGGAAUUCGUGACCUGAUACCAGGUUCUGUCAUUGAUGCCACACUGUUCAAUCCUUGUGGCUACUCAAUGAAUGGGAUGAAAUCGGAUGGAACAUAUUGGACUAUUCACGUCAUUCCAGAACCAGAAUUCUCUUAUGUUAGCUUUGAAAAAAACUUAAGUCAGACCUACUAUGAUGACCUGAUCAGUCAGGUUGUGGAAGUCUUCAAGUCAGGAAAAUUUGUGUCCACCUUGUUUGCUAAUCAGAAUUGUAAAUGUCACACAGUGCUUUCUUGCCCCCAGAAAAAUGAAGGUUUUAAACGUCUUGAUUGCCAGAGUGCUAUGUUCAAUGAUUACAAUUUUGUUUUUACCAGUUUUGUUAAGAAGCAGCAAUAACAGCAGAGUUGAUUAAGAAUAAUGAAGAAGAAAAAACGUGAAAAGAGAAGACACACAGGAGGUGGUAGCUGCUUUCUAGAUGUUGACACUAGGGGCUCUGUUCUCCAUGACCACAACCUUGUAGUUGCAGAAAGCCCUAAGUGUAUUGAUAGUGUGAUCAUUUUGAAGUGUAUGCAUUAUUAUAUCAAGGAGUUAGAUAUCUUGCAUGAAUGCUCUCCUCUGUGUUUAGGUGU